AUGAACGCUAGCUACAGGCUUAACACAUGCAAGUCGAGGGGCAGCAUGGUCUUAGCUUGCUAAGGCCGAUGGCGACCGGCGCACGGGUGAGUAACACGUAUCCAACCUGCCGUCUACUCUUGGACAGCCUUCUGAAAGGAAGAUUAAUACAAGAUGGCAUCAUGAGUCCGCAUGUUCACAUGAUUAAAGGUAUUCCGGUAGACGAUGGGGAUGCGUUCCAUUAGAUAGUAGGCGGGGUAACGGCCCACCUAGUCUUCGAUGGAUAGGGGUUCUGAGAGGAAGGUCCCCCACAUUGGAACUGAGACACGGUCCAAACUCCUACGGGAGGCAGCAGUGAGGAAUAUUGGUCAAUGGGCGAGAGCCUGAACCAGCCAAGUAGCGUGAAGGAUGACUGCCCUAUGGGUUGUAAACUUCUUUUAUAAAGGAAUAAAGUCGGGUAUGGAUACCCGUUUGCAUGUACUUUAUGAAUAAGGAUCGGCUAACUCCGUGCCAGCAGCCGCGGUAAUACGGAGGAUCCGAGCGUUAUCCGGAUUUAUUGGGUUUAAAGGGAGCGUAGAUGGAUAUUUAAGUCAGUUGUGAAAGUUUGCGGCUCAACCGUAAAAUUGCAGUUGAUACUGGAUAUCUUGAGUGCAGUUGAGGCAGGCGGAAUUCGUGGUGUAGCGGUGAAAUGCUUAGAUAUCACGAAGAACUCCGAUUGCGAAGGCAGCCUGCUAAGCUGCAACUGACAUUGAGGCUCGAAAGUGUGGGUAUCAAACAGGAUUAGAUACCCUGGUAGUCCACACGGUAAACGAUGAAUACUCGCUGUUUGCGAUAUACUGCAAGCGGCCAAGCGAAAGCGUUAAGUAUUCCACCUGGGGAGUACGCCGGCAACGGUGAAACUCAAAGGAAUUGACGGGCACCCGCACAAGCGGUGGAGCAUGCUGUUUAAUUCGAAGAUACGCGAAGAACCUUACCUAGACUUGACAUCCCCGGCAAAGCUAUAGAAAUAUAGUGGAGGUUACCCGGGUGACAGGUGGUGCAUGGUUGUCGUCAGCUCGUGCCGUGAGGUGUCGGCUUAAGUGCCAUAACGAGCGCAACCCUUGUUGUCAGUUACUAACAGGUUCCGCUGAGGACUCUGACAAGACUGCCAUCGUAAGAUGUGAGGAAGGUGGGGAUGACGUCAAAUCAGCACGGCCCUUACGUCCGGGGCUACACACGUGUUACAAUGGGGGGUACAGAGGGCCGCUACCACGCGAGUGGAUGCCAAUCCCCAAAACCUCUCUCAGUUCGGACUGGAGUCUGCAACCCGACUCCACGAAGCUGGAUUCGCUAGUAAUCGCGCAUCAGCCACGGCGCGGUGAAUACGUUCCCGGGCCUUGUACACACCGCCCGUCAAGCCAUGGGAGCCGGGGGUACCUGAAGUGCGUAACCGCGAGGAGCGCCCUAGGGUAAAACUGGUGACUGGGGCU
rnacentral:rRNA from 1 species